GAAAUGCGAUACGUAAUGUGAAUUGCAGAAUUCAGUGAAUCAUCGAGUCUUUGAACGCACAUUGCGCCCCUUGGUAUUCCAUGGGGCAUGCCUGUUCGAGCGUCAUCUACACCCUCAAGCUCUGCUUGGUGUUGGGCGUCUGUCCCGCCUUUGCGCGUGGACUCGCCCCAAAUUCAUUGGCAGCGGUCCUUGCCUCCUCUCGCGCAGCACAUUUGCGCUUCUCGAGGUGCGCGGGCCGCGUCCACGAAGCAACUAUUACCGUCUUUGACCUCGGAUCAGGUAGGGAUACCCGCUGAACUUAA
rnacentral:misc_RNA from 1 species